rnacentral:lncRNA from 1 species
AAAGAAAAAGAUAAAUAAAAAUUUUCAAGUGAUUCAUUCAAAUGCAUAUUCAUUUAUCCCAAAACAUUUUAAAUGCAAGUUCACUCACUUGUCUUUGUUGAUUUUCCUUUUUGAUCAGCUCCAACCUUAACUAACGCUCCAAGUGGAAAUGUGGGGUCUUGUUGGAACCUAUCAUACAUAAUAACAUCACAACCAACCCAAUUUGCAUGAAUAUAAUUCCAAAGGUUGUUUCCUAAAUCAAACUUUACUAGUUUUUCAUAACUAGUUUUCAAUCAUUAUUUGACUAGUCAACUUAAUACUAACUCCAACAAAUUUCAUAACACUUCUUUCAUUACUUCCAUUUUCCAGCACCUAUAUCAUCCUUAUAAUUCAAAAUUCCAAACUUAAUUAAUUCCCAUAGUGACAUCUUACACCAACACAAUGCUCUUUAUCAAACUAGUCAUUUGUUUGCACUAUUCUAAUCACACUAGAAAUAAAUAAUCACAUUUCCACCACAAAAUAACCUUCAACAAUAAAACAACCCACAAAUUUAAUUAUUAGCCAUCAUUAACAACUUAAAAAUCAACCCUAACUCAUUACUCACCUUGGUGGACUCGUAGUUGAAUUUCCUUACUGAGGAUUAAAAAGGGGAAAUUAUUUUAAGAGUUUUCAAGCUAUUUUGAAGAAUUUUUCUCUCUAAAAUGUUCAACUAGUAAGAGAAAGUACAGAGGAAAGACUUUUUUAGGGUUUUUUAGGUGAAAAAGUGAAAAAGCAUGAAAAAUCCUAUGAAAACGUGUACAAAAACAUGAGAUUUGGAGUUAAUAUGGGAAAGUUAUGAAGGUUUUCAUGGAUGGCCUCCAUGGAAUAUGGAAAGCUUGA